rnacentral:rRNA from 1 species
UACGGGGGGGGCAAGCGUUGUUCGGAAUUACUGGGCGUAAAGGGCGCGUAGGCGGUCUGCUAAGCGUGCGGUGAAAGCCCGGGCUCAACCCCGGGUCGGCCGUGCGAACUGGUGGACUGGAGCUUGUCAGAGGCAGGCGGAAUUCCGGGUGGUAGCGGUGGAAUGCGUAGAGAUCGGAAGAACACCGGUGGCGAAGGCGGCCUGCUGGGACAGUGCUGACGCUGAAGCGCGACAGCGUGGGGAGCAAACAGG